UAUGGCCACAUCAUGUUCGAAUACCAGUUCCUGUACGACCACCGAAUUUAAGCAAUGUCAAGCUUGAUCAGUACCUAGAUGGGUAACCACUUGGGAAUAUGAGGUGCUGUAAU